rnacentral:rRNA from 1 species
AUUGAACGCUGGCGGCAUGCCUUACACAUGCAAGUCGAACGGUAACGCGGGGCAACCUGGCGACGAGUGGCGAACGGGUGAGUAAUAUAUCGGAACGUGCCCAGUAGUGGGGGAUAGCCCGGCGAAAGCCGGAUUAAUACCGCAUACGACCUACGGGUGAAAGCGGGGGAUCGCAAGACCUCGCGCUAUUGGAGCGGCUG